GUGCCUGGUUUGUAGGCAGUGUAGUUAGCUGAUUGUGUCCACUGCUUCACAAUCACUAACUUCACUGCCAUCAAAACAAGGCAC
rnacentral:pre_miRNA from 1 species